CCCUAUGGGGUGCAGCAGGCGCGAAACCUCCACAAUUCACGAAAGUGAGAUGGGGCUACCUCGAGUGCCGUCUAAAAAAGGCGGCUUUUCCAUUGUGUAACUAGCCGUGGGAAUAAGGGGGGGGCAAGACUGGUGUCAGCCGCCGCGGUAACACCAGCCCCCCGAGUGGUGGGGAUGAUUAUUUGGCCUAAAGCGUCCGUAGCCGGCUCAUUAAAUCUCCCGUUAAAUCCAGCGUCCUAAGCGUUGGGCUGCGAGAGACACUGUUGAGCUAGAGGGUGGGAGAGGUCAGCGGUAUUUCUGGGGUAGGGGCGAAAUCCAUUGAUCCCAGGAGGACCACCAGUGGCGAAGGCUGCUGACUAGAACACGCCUGACGGUGAGGGACGAAAGCUGGGGUAGCGAAUCGGAUUAGAUACCCGAGUAGUCCCAGCCGUAAACGAUGCAGGCUAGGUGUUGGGUUGGCCACGCGCCAGCUCAGUGCCACAGGGAAGCCAUUAAGCCUGCCGCCUGGGGAGUACGGCCGCAAGGCUGAAACUUAAAGGAAUUGGCGGGGGAGCACCACCAGGCGUGAAGCCUGCGGUUUAAUUGGAGUCAACGCCGGGAAUCUUACCGGGAGCGACAGCAGAGUGAAGGCCAGGUUGAUGUCUUGCCGGACGAGCUGAGAGGUGGUGCAUGGCA
rnacentral:rRNA from 1 species